rnacentral:rRNA from 1 species
CGCGGCCUAUCAGCUUGUUGGUGAGGUAGUGGCUUACCAAGGCGACGACGGGUAGCCGGCCUGAGAGGGUGACCGGCCACACUGGGACUGAGACACGGCCCAGACUCCUACGGGAGGCAGCAGUGGGGAAUAUUGCACAGUGGGCGCAAGCCUGAUGCAGCGACGCCGCGUGAGGGAUGAAGGCCUUCGGGUUGUAAACCUCUUUCGUCAGGGAAGAAGCGAAAGUGACGGUACCUGAAGAAGAAGCACCGGCUAACUACGUGCCAGCAGCCGCGGUAAUACGUAGGGUGCGAGCGUUGUCCGGAAUUAUUGGGCGUAAAGAGCUUGUAGGCGGUUUGUCGCGUCUGCCGUGAAAACCUAGGGCUUAACUCUGGGCGUGCGGUGGGUACGGGCAGACUAGAGUGUGGUAGGGGAGACUGGAAUUCCUGGUGUAGCGGUGAAAUGCGCAGAUAUCAGGAGGAACACCGAUGGCGAAGGCAGGUCUCUGGGCCAUAACUGACGCUGAGAAGCGAAAGCAUGGGGAGCGAACAGGAUUAGAUACCCUGGUAGUCCAUGCCGUAAACGUUGGGCGCUAGGUGUGGGGCUCAUUCCACGAGUUCUGUGCCGCAGCUAACGCAUUAAGCGCCCCGCCUGGGGAGUACGG